UACGUAGGGGGCGAGCGUUGUCCGGAUUUAUUGGGCGUAAAGAGCUCGUAGGCGGUUCGGUAAGUCGGAUGUGAAAUCUCCACGCUCAACGUGGAGGGGCCAUUCGAUACUGCCGUGACUCGAGUCCGGUAGGGGAGUGUGGAAUUCCCGGUGUAGCGGUGAAAUACGUAGAGAUUGGGAAGAACACCAGUGGCGAAGGCGGCUAUCUGGACGGUUUCUGACGCUAAGACGCGAAAGCGUGGGGAGCAAACAGG
rnacentral:rRNA from 1 species